GACGGAGGGGGCUAGCGUUGUUCGGAAUUACUGGGCGUAAAGCGCGCGUAGGCGGACCUGCAAGUCGGGGGUGAAAGCCCGAGGCUCAACCUCGGAACUGCCUUCGAUACUGCGGGUCUCGAGUCCGGGAGAGGUGAGUGGAAUUCCUAGUGUAGAGGUGAAAUUCGUAGAUAUUAGGAAGAACACCAGUGGCGAAGGCGGCUCACUGGCCCGGUACUGACGCUGAGGCGCGAAAGCGUGGGGAGCAAACAGG
rnacentral:rRNA from 1 species